rnacentral:lncRNA from 1 species
CAAACUAUAACUAGACCUCAUAAGCUAUAUAAACUUUUAGAAUUAUAUCUUGGAUUUGUAAUGUCAUUCUAUUUGUGCAAAAGAGUACACUCCAUCUAAAAGGUUUCCAAUUCAAUCAUCAUUAUGGUGUAUUUUGUUGGAAAUUUUUAAAUGCAUUUUAAAAAGGUUCAAUUUUUAAAUGGAAGUUCAACUGUUUCCAUUAGUAAAAGAUUCAAAUUUUAAAUCUUAUUCCUAAUGGUCCCACAUCUCUUCUCUAUAUGACUAUAUCUCUACACCUAUUAAAUGAAAAGGAUAGAGAAAACUCCCCCCCCUC